rnacentral:misc_RNA from 1 species
AGCAAACAUUGUAAUGAACAAUCUAUUUUAAUCUAGCUGGCAUUCCUAUAAAAACUAGCAUUUGCCACCAUUCUACACAAUGACGGAGAGAACCAACUUUGAUUUGCGAUCAUAAUACCAACUCACAUUGUGAUGUUCACCUUAAAAUAUCUUACGGUAUGCAAUGUACUUUACUGACACAGAUAAUACCACCAAAUGGAUAAAACAAAAUCAUAGAGGCACAAAAUAAAAACCUCAGUAGGACAAUUACCACAUUAGAUCGUUUUUAGGAAUGGAGUCUAGCCAGGUACUAUUGACCUCUAAAUCCCAAAUAUGUGGUAAUUAAUCCAUAUAAAUUUCUAAAUCCAUGACCUAUAAUUCUAAUUCCUCAUCAUCCGAUAGAAGUUAUAAUUUUCUGAAGUAUUAAGAAAAAAUUGUGAAUAAUUAAGUUAAAUGAAGUCAGGAACCAGAACAAAUUGAAAAAAUACAAGAAGGGACGCAUUGAAAAGACAGUAUCAGUUCAUACCACAAUAGAUUAGCAACCCUAAACUCAAAUAAGCUAAUUAAACACCAAACCAUUAUUCAAACAAAUUAAAAAAGAAU